rnacentral:rRNA from 1 species
UACGGGGGGGGCAAGCGUUGUUCGGAAUUACUGGGCGUAAAGGGCUUGUAGGUGGCCAACUAAGUCAGACGUGAAAUCCCUCGGCUUAACCGGGGAACUGCGUCUGAUACUGGAUGGCUCGAGUGUGGGAGAGGGAUGCGGAAUUCCAGGUGUAGCGGUGAAAUGCGUAGAUAUCUGGAGGAACACCGGUGGCGAAGGCGGCAUCCUGGACCAUAACUGACACUGAUAAGCGAAAGCCAGGGGAGCAAACGGG